ensembl:lncRNA
AUUAAUAGUUUUCUUCUUUUGCCCCUGCUGAUGGUGUUUUAGCAAAGUAUAAUUUAAUUUGAGUGUUCACAGCAGCUCACAAUAGUGACAAGAAUAAAUGAGCCAUGACAUUUCAUUCCAAGAGCAGUAGAUGGGGAAAUCAUAGAUGAGAUACUGUGAAAACUAUGAGCUCCCUGCAGACCCCUCCUCUCUCAAGCUUCAUCUGAAACACUCAUUUUGCAGCUCCCUGUUCUAACACAGGAACUGCCUCCCCUGACCCACCAGGGAGCCACAAGAACAUGAGAUCCUCAAAUACUCCUACGUGGGAACAUCUCUGCACCCAAAGGACAUCCCUUUCUCCAUACCCUCCCACAGAGGUAACAAGCCCCAAAUCUGCCUGAGGAACUGUCUCAAGAAGGAGGAAAGGAGGUGACCCCUCCAUGCUUUCAUAUUUCAUAAGUAAAGGAGCAUGGGGGAAGAACAUGCUGCAGCUAAAUGUGCUUCUAUUUCUGGAGAUAUUUCUCCACUUUCUGAUCAUGUGUCCUGUUGCUGUCACUUCCCAGGCUCCUCAGGAGUUAGAACUGUCUUCAAGCACAACUCUUUGAAGCCAUAUGAUGACCCAAAAGUCUCUCAAUUUCAAGGUCAAUUUCUUUGCUCUUCUUGUCUUUCAGAUGCAGUGAGAAAGAGGGAUCCACCUUGGAGCCCAAUGACAGCAAAUUGGCCCCUUUCAUCCCCACUCACAGCAGGCAGGAACAUGCAAUCUGGAAAUCAUUGUCACCUUAUAAAAGUGGCCACUUAUUUUGAGGACACAAUGAAUCCCUUUGCUUAUGGAGCUUGGCCCCCUCCAGACAUCCAGCUCAUUCCAGCAAAGAAACGCUCCAGGUGCAGUUUGUCCUGCUCCUGUUUGAGGAGGACAUCCUCAUCUUCUCCAUCUUCUGCUCUGAAUCAUCAGGUGUAAAUCAGCAGUAAUGAUUCCCACCUGGAGGAGACUGGGGGAAACAUAGACUGGACAGAUGUUCUGCUUUCAGAAGACAGCAAGUGAUAUAUCUGUAAGAGCAACAGGCACAGUGAGAGAAGUGAGGCUCCUAUUAGCAACCCUUGGAGGGAAGGGUCAGGACCAGCUACUGUUAAUUUGAUGCUAUCAGCCAAUAGGGAGAAGCACAGGGAGAUCUGAACCCCUCCUUCAAAAGUUCCUUCCUCUGGUAUCACCUAACUCGACCCUUGCUGUAUUAAAAAUGUGAUUUUUGCUCAAUUCUUGAAUUCCAAGGUCCCAUCCAUCGCUGAACACUGUGAUGGGUGCCAGGACCAUGUCCUGCACAUGUGUCUCUCCUCUUCAGCAAACACCCAGAGUAUCUCAGUGCAUCUGGUGUUGACAAGAUGGGCUUUAACUUCGGAGAGCUCUUGGGUGCCAGAAUGACAGCACUGAAGAAUGAGAUCUUCUGCUGCUGGAACGGGCGAGCGUUCAACAAUGACUCAGGACAGGAAAAUGCCACUUACUGAAACUCCAAUACUUGUUUCUCAACCAGCCAAAGCUCUUGGAGGCCUCCCAUUUAAAUGUUAACCAGGCCUGGAGCUGCAUGUCUUUUGAGACCUCACAAGAGCAGCUGCAGUAUAAGGAAGACACUGUGCUAUUCAGGACAAUCUGGGAGAUAGUCAAGUUGUAGAAAGACCCUCCUGGAAUUUUUAAUAGGUUGAUAUUGAAUGUUUUAUUUCAGCUCUUCUGCUUCAGAUUUCACUGAUCAGUGAGCUGCUGAGCAAAACACACAGGUUUUGUUGGUGCAUUUUGAUGCCUGGGUGCAACACUUCGAGGCACAGAGUCUGUGACCAGGGAAUCUAAAGGGAGGAGGAGGUGGCUAGUCAAAGAAAAAACAUAUGUUAUUACAUUUAUGCAUACGGUAGGGUGGCAGUUUUCUCCUGGCAUCAUAUUCCAAGGUCUCAGUCUGCAAUCUGCUCUCAGUGUACUUGUUCAGACAAAAAUCUAUGGUCAGAAUAUGGGAUUUCAUCUGUGUUCUCCCCCAGCCCACACUGAAACACUGAUUAAAAAUAAAUUAUUCCAAAAAAGAGAAAUCUUCUCUAAG